rnacentral:lncRNA from 1 species
CGUGUGAGUCUCCGCCGCCCGGGGGCGGCUGUGGCCCAGCGACCCCGUGGACUCCGGGGAAAGUGUGUGGCCUCCCGGGUGCGAGGCAGCAUCGCCGAGUAGUCCUGACCUUGGGUUCCUGCGGGGCCCGGUGAAUGAGUCGCCCCCGGCCCCGCGGGUCUGGGGUGUCUUCAGUAACCAAUACUGGCUCUGAUGUGUUAGCCGCCUCGUUGGUGGCACUUUGGAAAUAAUCUGCGAAGUGCGGUGUGAGAACAAAACCGGACUUGGGCAACACUUGUCUUCCGCACAGGCUGUUUGUGGAAAAUACUGCCGUGCUCGAAAGUUAUUGGGGUCUUAGGUCUAGAAGUGAGAGUAAAAUCUGAUUGUUUAGGGUUCCAGUAACGUGAAUAGUGGUGCCUGCCCACAGGCUGAAGACCUAGUGAGAUCUUCAGUCAAACACCUAAGCUCAAAGGAAUGGAAAUGCAAUUUUAGGGUCAGAUCUGCCUCGUGGGUGUGGGGACUUCCCACGAAGCCCUGCCCUGGCUGAGUCACAGCCCCCAGGCUGACCUGCAGCCCCACGCUGGCUGGGAGCUCACUGUGAGCUGUCCCAGCCUCCGCCGGUGGAAAGCGCUCUGCAGCUCUGAGACUGCAAGCGUGACACUUGCGAGGCCACUCCUUUGGUUACAGUUCUCCUGGGGUCCAUGUUGGUGGUGUCCGACCCAUGCAAGAUCUCAUCAUGGGAAACAGCUUUUACAGCACCGUGUGCGGCUGUGCUGCUG